GUGAGUCAUCGAAUCUUUGAACGCACAUUGCGCCCCUUGGUAUUCCGAGGGGCAUGCCUGUUCGAGCGUCAUUUCAACCCUCAAGCACUGCUUGGUCUUGGGCUCCGCCGCUAACCCGGCGGGCCUUAAAACGAGUGGCGGCGCCAUCAGGCUCUGAGCGUAGUAGAUUUCCUCGCUACGGAGUCCUGGUGACGGUGGCCAUCAACCCCCAACUUUCUCAGUUUGACCUCGGAUCAGGUAGGGAUACCCGCUGAACUUAAGCAUAUCAAUAAGCGGAGGA
rnacentral:misc_RNA from 1 species